rnacentral:rRNA from 1 species
CGUAGGGGGCUAGCGUUGUCCGGAUUUAUUGGGCGUAAAAGAGCGUGUAGGCGGCCAGAUAGGUCUGCUGUGAAAACUCGAGGCUCAACCUCGAGCUGUCGGCGGAAACCAUCCGGCUAGAGUCCGGAAGAGGAGAGUGGAAUUCCCGGUGUAGCGGUGAAAUGCGCAGAUAUCGGGAAGAACACCUGUGGCGAAGGCGGCUCUCUGGGACGGUACUGACGCUGAGACGCGAAAGCGUGGGGAGCAAACAGGAUUAGAUACCCUGGUAGUCCACGCCGUAAACGAUGGGUGCUAGGUGUGGGGGAGUGUCGACUCUCUCCGUGCCGAAGCUAACGCAUUAAGCACCCCGCCUGGGGAGUACGGCCGCAAGGCUA